rnacentral:lncRNA from 1 species
AGGACAAUAACAAAAUUGUCUUACUCUUUAUUGAAAACUAUUUUUUUUUAACAUGGGCACAUCCUUAAACUUGAUCUUCUGUGAGAACGUGUGUGUUCCAGCAAGAAAGAAGGAGGAAGUGGAAGUGAAGCUUUCUUUACGGUAGCGGUUGCCUCUGGAAAUGGAGGAAAGGAGAAGUGAUGGGGCUUUAGCUGUUCCUGUUCCUUAAAACCGACAAACAAGAUACUCACCAAGACUGAAACACGUAUAACGAAAUAUGAAGAGUUAUUUUAUCUCAGUGCACUUUUGCUGCUCAAAUCCCUCUUCUUCAAAACUGUGUCCACCAUCAAUACUGGCAGUUGUAUAACCCACAAAUUUUCAAGGUAUUCAGAAGAGUUGCCUUUGGUUUAAAAAGAGUGGACUUCAGCACUGAGCUCCUGUGGAGAUGGGAAGCACAACCAUAAACCUGGAAUGAUCAAACCCUGGGAGAAGAAAUGUCAUCAGGGAAGAGAAUGCUGAA